CCUACGGGAGGCAGCAGUAAGGAAUAUUGGACAAUGCUCGCAAGAGUGAUCCAGCCAUGCCGCGUGCAGGAAGAAUGCCCUAUGGGUAGUAAACUGCUUUUGAACUAGAGAAAACCCCAGUACGUGUACUGGGCUGAUAGUAUAGUUAGAAUAAGCAUCGGCUAACUUCGUGCCAGCAGCCGCGGUAAGACGAAGGAUGCAAGCGUUAUCCGGAUUCAUUGGGUUUAAAGGGAGCGUAGGUGGACUGAUAAGUCAGUGGUGAAAUCUCCGAGCUUAACUCGGAAAUUGCCAUUGAUACUGUUGGUCUUGAGUACAGUUGCUGUGGGCGGAAUAUGACAUGUAGUGGUGAAAUACAUAGAGAUGUCAUAGAACACCGAUUGCGAAGGCAGCUCACAAAGCUGUAACUGACACUGAGGCUCGAAAGUGCGGGGAUCAAACAGGAUUAGAUACCCUGGUAGUCCGCACCGUAACGAUGAUUACUCGCUGNGNGGCGACGUUACGUGUGUAGUAGAGAGAGAGUAGUCGACCGCGGAGGACGCGCGACGAGAACGUAAGUAGAGUAGAGACGNGAGAGNGCGACGGACGACGACGAGGGAGGUUAGG
rnacentral:rRNA from 1 species